rnacentral:rRNA from 1 species
GGAUAACCUCGGGAAACCGGGGCUAAUACCGCAUAACAUCUUUGGAGUGGAAAUUCUGGAGAUCCUCGUUGCAAUUCGCUGGAAGAGGGGGUCGCGGCUGAUUAGCUAGUUGGCGGGGUAACGGCCCACCAAGGCUUAGAUCGGUAGCCGGCCUGAGAGGGCGCACGGCCACACUGGAACUGAAACACGGUCCAGACUCCUACGGGAGGCAGCAGUGGGGAAUUUUGCGCAAUGGGGGAAACCCUGACGCAGCAACGCCGCGUGGAGGAUGAAGUCCCUUGGGACGUAAACU